rnacentral:lncRNA from 1 species
CACGUGCUGGGGUGUGCGGAGGGACAGGCCAGAACGUGACAGGGCGCCCUAAGCACAGGGACGAGCGGAUGGGGUCGGUGUGGCCUCGCCCAGACGGAGGGAGGGAGGCACAGGCAGCACACAGCCAGGAGGCUGCAGGCCCUCCGAGUGCUGAAGACUAGGCCACUGCGCACCACUCGGCUUAGAAGGCAUAAAAAUACGCACAAUUCUCCCAGCCUUGCUAAAAAUCAGAGAACUUUCAGCACAAACUGUGCCUGCUCCCUCUGGUACUGAUCCGGCUGCACCAACAGGAGGGGAGCACUGAAGAUCCAGGCGCCUCCAUGUCUACGCGACACUGCUUCCCUCCUGCAGGUUCGGAACACGACCGACCCAGGAAGCUGUUCCGUACCUAAGUGGAAUUCCAGAAUCAGUAUAAUCUAGUACUGCAACUUAUUUAUAAUGUUCUUAUUCAUCCAAAUAUCAUUUACAGAAAGUCACAAAUAUGCAUAAUAAAUUGCUUCUAG